CCUGGGUUCAAGUGAUUCUCCUGUCUCAGACUCCUGAGUAGGUGUGAGGGUGAAUCUGGUCCCUUUUCCUCCAUAUUGGCUGGAAGCAGAAGUCCCAGUGGAUGUUUCUGAGCCCCUGAUCUGUGCCAGGCACUGCUGUAAGCACUGAGUAUUCAAAGAUGAACAAAAUGUUGUGGCCCCAGUCUUCUAAAAUUUGCUAUCAAGAGAAGAAGACAACAAAUGGUCAUGCACACUAAGAAAUAACCAUGGACCAACAUGAGAAUAACGGAGACAGGAGUUGCUGCACACUAACAGUUUAAGUAAAGUCUGAAGCAGCAGCCAGUCAUACGAGGAGCAGGAGGACGAGCAUCGCAGUCAUGGAGAACAACUCGUGCAAAGGAUGUGGAAAGCUUGGCACGCUCCAGGCACAGAUGGAAGUGAAGCAUCUGUCAAAAUGGAGAUGCCACAUAUGAAAGCAACCACUGCAUGGAGGACAGCUUCCCCAGAAAACCGCCCAGACUCACAGAGGUCUCUGCAGGAGCAAGGAAGAAACCUGUGUAAAGCUCCUGAGAUUUUGGCAUUGCUUAUUACUGCAGCAUGACUUGGUCUGCUUUAGCCAACGGCAACAAGACUUGUUUGACUUGAGCAAGCUUACAUCUGAUUUUGCUAAGUAUCAGUCUGAAAAGAAAACAAUUCCUGUUUUUCAAUUUUUAAUUAAAAAAAACUAUCUUGCAUUUGCCUCCAUUUGACCCAUACUGGGAUGCUAGGUUGAAUUCUUUUGUUAAUGAUAAAGAAAUAUCCUAGCUUGAGCUUGGCUAUAAUGAAUACAUUUUAAACAGUCCUGCCAACUCCAUUUUGCCCUCCCUGAGCUAUGUUUGCCCACUUUAUGUAGGGCAUUCUGCUCCGAAAGUUUGUGGUCUAAGACACCUGGCAUCUUUGUAGCCAAUUUUCUGAAAAACAGGGCCCACCAGCCCUGUAUAUCCUAUAUCUGUAACUGGGUAACUGCUACCCCACGUCCUGAGUAAAAAAAAACAAUUUUAAGUAUAACUUUUUGUUAGGCCUCCCCUUCUCCCCUAACUUGCUCCUUCUGCUUCUGUAAUAAUCGGCUUACUGCCCCCGACCCUAAACUGGUAUAAAAAUGUAGACCGCCCUUUGUUCUGGACCAAGAGGUCUGAGCUCCAGCUGACUCUCGGACGCCAGCAGGCAUAAAGAUGGACUCUCAACAAACUCGCUCAGGUGUAACAAUUUAAAUAAAAAUCUCAUAACACUAGGAUGAAAAAAAAUCAGAUAUCCCCCAGGCCCCUUUAUUACUCACCAGAUGUGCCUUUACAGCUGCUUUUUUUCUGGGCAUUCUCAAAGAAUCUUGAUAAAUGACUUAUCUGUUGCAUUUUCCUCAGGCUCUUGUUAAAACUUCUGUUAUAUAAAGUGCUAGGUAAAUACAACAUAAUACGUUGUUUUGGGUUGUGUUCAAACAGUGAAAUUGACAGUUCUCUAGCUAACUGGAUCCCAGAAAGAAGCCAAGCCCACUUAUUUGGAUAUCUUUAAAAGUAAAUUGUUGAUUACUA